ACACCAGACUACCAUGAAGAAGAAUGACUCA
rnacentral:piRNA from 1 species